AUGAGAGCACUAGGCACUGUGAGAUAUGCCCACUACAAUGAGCCACAAGAACUGCAUCAGGUAGUGCUUGCCUCGUCUGACAGCACUGUGAACUGGAGUCAAUUCAGAAGUGUAAGAAUGAGAUUCUAACAACGUCAGGGCCUUGAUAGAAGAGAAUUAAGAACUGCACUGCUGGCUAGAGUCUUUUCAAAAAUCAAGAGAUCGUAUUUUUCGACAGUUCUCCAGUGAACUUGUGAUGCUGGAUUCUGGUGAUUAUCCUCAAUGCCUGUGCUUUUACCAAGGAACUGUGGUGAAACAUGGAAGAAUGUCUUCCUCAAAUCCUGUCUCUGUGUCUGAGCUGACUGCCUAAACACUUGCUAUUUUCCACAGUUCUCACUUGCAGAACCUGACAAAAUUCAUUCUUUCUCCUGUGUUUUUUUUGUUUUUUUUUUUUUAAUUUUUUGGAAGGGGGGACAAAGUCAAUCUGCUCUCCACUAUAAAUAGCUGCAUAUGGUAAUAAUAGCUCUGGUAAGCAGCCAGGUGAAUACCAAACCUUCCUUCAGAUGCCCCAGCCUUUACUGAUGUGAAGGUUUGCAUGCAGCACCAUCUGUCAGGGGUGUUCAUUUAUCAUUAACCAACUGGGGAGACAACAUGAGCUCAAAUGCCACCGGGAGAGAGACAGUAUCUCUUAUUUAAAUGCUAUGCAUUUGUUUCAAGGAAAAUUUGUAAGCAGA
rnacentral:lncRNA from 1 species